rnacentral:lncRNA from 1 species
GGGAUCUGCAUGGCUGGUGAUGAUGAGGGAGACGGAGCCCAGGAGAAGGAUCUUAAGGGAAAAUAUUGACAACAUUGGUUUUAGAUGUUUCAUAACAGUUGACAAUCAUUGUCAUGAAGUCGGAAGAGCCAUCUGAACUGGAGGAGCAUUGAUUCUACCAGAGAAAUUAACCACCGUGAACAUGUCAUGGAUUAGUGAAUAAAACCACUCCAAUUCUUGUCCUCAUUUCUCCUCUUUGGCCUCAUUCUUGGAGCUGUGCUUUGCUCAGAUUCCCCAGCUCCACACCCUCUGACACUGUCCUUCAGGAGGGCUGCAGCUUCACUGCCAGUCAGAAGAGUCAAAAUUGCCCUUGGCUGCUCAACAGUGCAGAACAAUCCCCUUAGAACCUUGAAAUUCCCCUUGUUCAUCGACCUCAUGGAAUAAUGACCUUGCUUCAAGUCUGAAAAUUUCACGGGGAUCCCCUAGACUGAUUAUAAUUUGUGGCUAAAGAACACUCAGAAACAAAGGGUGCAGUUGAGCUUUGACAAAGCUGGGAUUAAAGAAAGAGCUCCCUGCCCAGUCUUCACCAGGGCACUUCUCUCCGUGGAUCCUGCAAAUCGGUCGGU